GGUAUGGACAUGUGUGUCCAAUACCUGGGGGCAAAAUCGUCAUUUCGUUGAAAAAUCUUGCAGUAAGUCAUAACUUGUUACUGACUGUAAAAAAGCUCUCUCUUAUCUCCAUUCAUAGUUACUGCUGUAAAAAAAAACUCUCUCUAAGGUUCCCCACCGGAAAUCUCUCGCCGGAAAAAAUUGCGAAAACCUAGCUAAAGAGCUGUGGAAAUUAUCGAAUUUUGUCGAGUUUGUUGAUGUUGGUUGAGUUCAUCCUGGUGUAAGUCUCCAAUUUUGGUAAAAGUAGUUGUGAAAAGCUGAAUCGUAGUGUUUCGUAAGGUGUUGUGGCUAAGUUUGAACUUUCCGUUUGUGAGUAAAGAUCGAAGGUGUUGAAGUAAACUAAGCCUAUUACGAUGUCAAGUCGAAGGGGUGGAAGGGGCGGAAGGGAGGUCGAAGGACGUGCGAUUGUUGAAAAGGUUAGUUUAUUUGUUCAAAUUUUUGGGUGAAAGGACGGCGAUGGAGCGGUGUUGUAUUAAAGGGAAUUCAAAGAGGACCACAAUCUAGUAGACUGGAGCUUCAAACUGAGUUGAUUAUCGCCAACACAAAUCAAGAUCUAUCUAAUUGUGUGUUAAGAGUUUAAGUGAGGAAUAAUGAACUUUUAUGGGGUCCGGAGCAAUUGAAGUUCAAUUAAAACCAUUUGAAAAUAUUACAUGACAAAUCAUGUAGUUUUUUUGUUACAUUAUUAUUAUUUAUUUUUUUAUUUAAUUUUUUUUUUUUGGGUGGUAAGAUCAAGAGUUUAUGAUAUGAAAUUGUCUAAUCUAAUGUAAACUUUUUUUUUGUGAUCUAAAAGUCCUAAAGUAUUUGGCCAAAAACUUUUAUUUUACUGUACUUAAAUGUAUAAUCAAUUAAUGUUACAAUUUUUUUUCAUUCAUGUUACUCUCCAAACAAUUUGGAGGGUUGCCCAAUUCCUAGUCGUGGUACUCGUUGAAAUCGUUUUAAUACAUAGCUUAUUAAUGUUCAAUUAUUAUUAUUUAUAGGGUUGAGCAAAAAUUCUGGAUACCCGGAAUUGGAAUCGGAACUGGUUGGGAAUCGAUGGGUUCGAAAUUAGAUUGGAUUCGAUGGUUCCAAUUUUGGGUGAUAAAUUAAGGAACCAAUUGUAACCGGUUUCA